GACGAACGCUGACGGUGUGCUUUAGACAUGCAAGUCGAGCGAGAAAGCCCUUCGGGGUUAGUAAAGCGGCGAACGGGUGAGUAACACGUGGGCAAUCUGCCCCUCGCAGGGGGACGAACCGGGGGAAACGUCCGGCUAAUACCCCGUAACGUUUCCAGAGUCGCAUGGCUUUGGAAAGAAAGGUAGCUUCGGCCAUCCGGCGAGGGAUGAGCCCGCGGUACAUUAGCUAGUUGGGUGGGGUAACGGCCUACCAAGGCGGCGANGUAUAGCUGGUCUGAGAGGAUGAUCAGCCACACUGGGACUGAGACACGGCCCAGACUCCUACGGGAGGCAGCAGUCGGGAAUCUUGCACAAUGGGCGAAAGCCUGAUGCAGCAAC
rnacentral:rRNA from 1 species